UACGGGGGGGGCAAGCGUUGUUCGGAAUUACUGGGCGUAAAGGGCUCGUAGGCGGCCAACUAAGUCGGACGUGAAAUCCCCAGGCUCAACCUGGGAACUGCGUCCGAUACUGGAUGGCUUGAAUUCGGGAGAGGGAUGCAGAAUUCCAGGUGUAGCGGUGAAAUGCAUAGAUAUCUGGAGGAAUACCGGUGGCGAAGGCGGCAUCCUGGACCGACAUUGACGCUGAGGAGCGAAAGCUAGGGGAGCAAACGGGG
rnacentral:rRNA from 1 species